rnacentral:lncRNA from 1 species
AAAAGAUAAAAGGAAGAAAUAUGGCUGAAAUUUUCAAGUUUAUUUAUAUUAUGAUCAUCUUUAUUACUAUAUUUCUAGUGCCAUCCAAUUAUGGGAGUAAUAUAUUUAUUUAUAUUUAUAACUUCUUUUAUUACUUUGUACACAAUAUUUAUCAAAUAUUAUCUAAAUUUUUAAUCUUAUUUUUUAAUAUAGGAGGAGAUACUAGAUGUGUACGAGAUACUGAUUGUCAUUUAUUUGGGUGCUAUCCACCAAAGAUAAUGAAGUGUGACAAUAGACGAUGUAGAUGUACUAGUAUGUUCUCUUCCAUUGAUUAUGUUCACAUAUAAUUCUAGGUUUAGUUUCACAUCCAAGAGAGUAUACAAGUGCUCUUUAAGAAUAUUUUAGAAGCUGCGAUAUAGUUAUUGUAUAUACAUCUCAUCAUUUUUUUUCGUUUUAAUUUUAUUAGUUGGGUAAUAUAUUAUGAUAAUUCAAAAUAAAUAUUGCAUAACUAAGAUGAAUAUGACUUUGUAAGGUUAUAAUUUAUCGUAAGAUUUAUAUGUGAUUUAAAAUGAAUAUGAUUUAGAAGACUCAUUUUUGUAAGGAUUUUGUAAAGUUAUAAAUUUUCAUAAGAUUUAUGUGAAUAUGAUUAGGAUAUGUAAAUUCGCUUCAUUGUUAGUGUUUUUGUUAUUAUAGUUGUUUGACAUGCUUUUUAUAGUUAACAUUUAUGUUCGAUUCACUUGUUUUCGGUUGCUUUCGAAGGACUUUUAGCUUUUGCACAUAUCUCAUUUGAAAAGAUUAUUUCAUUUUAAUAAGUAGGAAAUAUUUAAUUAAAUCAUAAUCCUUGUAGAAAAAGAAGUUAUUAGAUUUGGUUUAAUUUAAAAAGAUUUGAUUUGCUGAUUAUUGGAUUUGGUUAAUUCUCUAUUGCUCCCAAUUUGGUGUUUUUGGUUUAAUUCUAUUUUAUACAUAAGAGAUGUCUCUUUUUAAUUGAAGACUCACCUUUUGAAAAAAUAACUUAAGUGUGUCUUAAUUAAUUUUCUCUGAGUCUUUGUAUUUUGUUUAGUGUGUAAAACUCUAUCCUAAAGAAUCUUUAAUAUUUGGAGAGAUAUAGUAUUUGAUCAGUAAUUGUGAUAUUUCUUUUCAAACCACAUAUAAUUGGUUCUUGCAAAUAAUUGGAAGAGUGUUUGAGUGAAACUGAGGGGUAUCAGAUUUAUGAUAGUAUUAGGAAAAGGAACUGAUUUAGGACUGUUUAUAUGACACUAUUGUAUACUAUUGAUUAUUUAAAUUAAUGAGUUUCCUUUCAUUUGGGCUACAACCCUCUAGACGUAGGUGAAGUUACACCAAUCUGGGUAACCAUUUAUUUGUUACUUAUUUGUAGUUUGUUUUAAUUAUUCAUCGUUUAAUUUAGAUAAUUUUGUAUCCCACAUUAUUACAUCAUUGUGUGAGACAUGUUGGUUAUGACCGAACCGAAUAUCAAUUGGAAUCAGAACAUGAACCCUAUUCUAAUUUGCUUUGUUCUAAUGUAUCUAUUUUUUUUAAAGAUGGAGUAACUACUAAGGGAUCAGUUGUCACCACUUAGAGUUACCCAAACCCUAGGCCCAAAAGGCCUAUAUAAAUAAUGCUCUCUCGAUGGAGAAAAGGAUAGAUCUUAAGUCAUAAAGAUCGCACCCCAUUUACGCUUAUACCUAAGAACACAAUUCAUCUAUAGAUGUAUAUUGGAUCUUGUUGUCUAUGUCUAGGACACUUAAAAUCAGAUUACAAGUCAAAAAUAUGAUUUUUCAUGAAAAACGUGUCUAUGGGUCGAUACAUUAUGGCUAUGUAUCGUUACAUACUAAAUGAGUUUUAAAGAAAGUAAAGUAUCAAGACAUAUGAGGUAUGGGUUGAU